UGCCAGCCGCCGCGGUAAUACGUAGGGACCAAGCGUUAUCCGGAAUUAUUGGGCGUAAAGGGUGCGUAGGCGGCCUUAUAAGUCCGAGUUGAAAGCCCAUGGCUCAACCAUGGAGGGUGCUCGGAAACUAUAAGGCUUGAAUUCAGAAGAGGCAAGUGGAAUUCUAUGUGGAGCGGUGGAAUGCGUAGAUAUAUGGAGGAACACCAGUGGCGAAGGCGGCUUGCUGGGCUGAUAUUGACGCUGAUGCACGAAAGCGUGGGGAGCAAACAGGAUUAGAUA
rnacentral:rRNA from 1 species